AGCCUUCCAGAGAAGUUCCACAAUGUCUUCUCAUUGCCCUAAUUAAUGUAUGAUAUCAUGGAAUCCCAUGGAAUCAUAGUAAUAGUAGUAAUUGUGAAAGACAGAGGUCUGUUCCUCGGUUGAUAGAAACAUUACAUUCUGACAUUUUCACCUCCUCUUUUCAGUGAACUCCAGCAUGACUACUGGAAGCAGAAUCCCUGUUGCAAUUCCUCCUUGUUCCAGAGAUCAUUGGUGGAAGGGAUGGAAACAUGAGUAUACAGCACCCCAGUCAUUCGAACAGACCUUGUUAUUCACAGUGACUACUGACUGGUAAAACAGAAUUCAAGGACAUUUAUGAUUAUGACAGUAGUGUCGCAACCAGGGACAGUGAAUAAAAACAAAUUAGAGAUAUAUGACAACACGUUAUGCAUCUAUAACUGCAGCUGUUUGCAUCAUUUCCUUGCCAUGAAGUUAUAUCACAUGUGAAUAUAUCACUUUUUUUUCCACCAAACGGAGACAUUUUCCUUGAGGAAACAGUUUGGGGGAAAAAGCAGCAAGUGGUGGAGGGCAGCCAGGAGACUUAAGCUCCACCCAGGACUGUGACCAUGCUGAGCAGGGGAUUCAGGAAGCUGUGGUUCAAAAACAAACCUUGCCCAAGCUCCAUCAAUUUCUCUUCAAACACGGCACAUCAGUGGUAUUUUGAAGCAUCGGCUGGUAUGCGAUAUUGAGCACUUUUUAGCCAAAUACAUUUGGAGUUUUACAGAUGGGAGCAAAGAAUGGAGAGAGAACACUUUGUAUGACGGAAAAUGAAGAAUUUAUGGCCAACUUGCAAGGACAGCAAAGCUUAAGAGACAGAGGUAUCAGAAUGUAUAGUGGCAGUGUUGCCAGAAGUGGACUGCUACUGUCAGAUGGUGACAACAACAAUGAUAACAGUGUGAAAGAAUGUGAUAUACUUUGGUUCAAUACACAUCAAACAAGCCAAAAGGGAUCUUUCUCUACUGGUGUGGAGAUGAUCAUUAAUUUUUAAUAGUGUUAAUGUUUAUUAGUGAAAGAUGAUUGACUUUAAGUGCCUGAUGAAUAAUAAAUAAAUGAUGUCGUUUUCUGGCAUUUUGAUUGCAUUAGUAUGGAAGGCCGGUGGGAGUAUCUUUCAUUCUUUAAGAGGGGUAUUGCACCAGUUCCCAGAGGUCUGUGAUGCUUGCUCGCAGCUUUCAGACUUCUCCAAUUCUGGAGCAGACAGAAACUUUAAAGAGUGUGCCCCUAUCCUCUGUUCUCUCUUUCUAUUCCCCUCUCUUUUUGGGUAUUCAUUCUUUAGUCACAGAGGUUACUGUGAACUCCCAGGCUGACACAAGGAAGUUCAUCCCAGCUGUUGUCACUAAUCCAAAACUGCUGGAGAAGGCCUCAGAUUCACUUGAAGGCCCUGUUGGAUUUCAUAAAACACCUGUGUCCAUCAAAGAGAACACACAGGAUCUCUGCAUGAGCUCUCCUUGACUUUGUAAUUUCAUUGACUGACAGUUUAAUAUCUAUUUAUUUUCACAUCUGACUCCAGUAGAGACAGGCUGGCAUCCUAAAUGUCAAGAUAUUAUGCUGACAACUGGAAGCUCUGGAAAGCCUUGAAAUUUAUUCAGAACUAAAAUUUCUGCUUGACUGGCUAUUGACAAGCUUGCUUUGAUUGUUGAACACUGAAUUCAAAGUGCAAAAUCCAGAUAACUCAAGGGGAGAACCUCACUGAAGGGACAGUUACUGGACUGAUGACCAUUGCUGCAAGAUUUAUAUGCAAUUCUCAAUGACGGAUACACAUAUGUGGUAGAGUUAAUUAUCCCACUAUGGCGAUGGGGGAAGGCAGGACCACCAAGAUCAUGAUGGUGAAUGCAAUGGGCAUGUCCCUACUCUGCUCCUCAGGAGAACUCAGGAAAACUUCGUGUCUACUUUAUUAUAACUUGAAUGUGUGAAUAUUAGAAACUUUCCACCUGAAGAAGACUUGGUCAAGGUUGAAACCGGUUGUGGAAGUUCUCUACAAGGAAACAUAGAGGAAUAUUUGUUUAUAGAGACUUUUGUUGAAAUUUCCUUUAUAAGAAAGAAAGAGAAAGAAAUUACCAUUGUGAACUUUAAAGAGGAAAUCUGUUUAAAGUAACCCUUGUUGAAAAUUCCCUUCUACAAGAAAGAAACAGUAAUCAGUAUUGUCAAUAUAACAAACUUAUGUUUCAUUGUAUACUAUUUUUGUCGUACCUUUUACAAGUUGUUGAAACAAAUAUAUGUUUGUGAUUACUUCA